rnacentral:tRNA from 1 species
GGAGAGAUGGCAGAGUGGUCUAAUGCGACAGUCUUGAAAACUGUUGUCGGUGAAAGUCGACCCUGGGUUCGAAUCCCAGUCUCUCCGCCA